rnacentral:misc_RNA from 1 species
GUGUCCUCGUCACACAUCCACUUCACUCUUGCCGGGGAGUCUGUUGGGCAACGUUCGCCGAGUAAAACGUUUUUUCGAGCCUUUCCAUGAGGAAACCAAGGAGUAAUGCCGCCUCUCUAUGCACUUUUUCGGGCGACCGCGAGUGCGGUCGUCGGGAGUGCCCUUGCCUCCGCCCACUAUGCGCAGCGAGCCUCAGCGUUAACUUCUUCCGUCGUCGAGGGACCGGACGCCGGCACGGCCGACGCUGUUGCCAGCAUGCGACUUCAGGAUCAGACCAUUCCGUGGGAGAUUGAAUGCGAUGACUUUCGCCAUGGCUACCAGGCAAACACAGUGCAGCUGCAGAUUCUUCGACUGCGCGCCGAAUACGCGGCUUCGAGCGGUGAGAAGUCACCUGUCAUACGCAUCGUUGGAUUCUUCCCCGGGGUUGCGAGUAAAACCGUGUACGAGCAUCUCACGAAUGUGACGCUGCGGCGCGGGUGGGACUGUAACUACACCAAUUUUGAGCAGUUCUCUGGAAAAUGCCCUUCUACACUGGCCGAAGUCGAUGCGUUGCAGCGCCCCUUCGCCGCCGUGGCGAACGUGCGCCCCUGCUGCUCUGGCGAUGUGUGCACCCUUGUCCCAGAUGUGGCGGGCGUCGUGCUCGACGACCAUGGCUGGUUCACACACCGCGUCGGUGGUCCGUUGCUGCGCCGCUUCGGCCUGGCGGACCGGCUGUUUCAGUACGAGCGUCUAACCUACGAGUACUACUUCGGCGAAGGCGCUGCAGUCACGUCCACGGGCGCUGCUACUGCUAGUAAAAUGUACGACGUUCUCUUUAGCGGGUCCAAACGCACGCGUGAGGCGGCUUCAACAGCUGCGCCACCGCUUCGUGCAUGGCUUCAGGCAAAUCGCGAGGCUGUGCCAUGUGAAGAGGUAGACAUGAACUUCCAACAUAUCCUGCUUGUCCCGAUUGCCGAUGCAGAGGCGCAGCUGUUUCGCAAUUCAGACCAGCUUCGCUCGCUGUGCACCAUGGGAAGCAUGAUCGACGUGACGAGCACUAAGCUCGUUUACGAUGUAUGGAAGGAUACACAGCAGCGCGUGUUGGAUGGCGCAGCGUCGUCACCGGGCACCCUUCUCAUCAUGAGCUCUGCAAACAAUGUUGGCAUACCAGCGCUGCUGCCGCGGUGGGCACAGAAAACAAUUUUGUCCACCAUGUCGCAUAAGGCUUACGGCUACCUACUAAAGGCUUGCCAGGAGUACUCCAGUCACCAGGAUUCUGUUUGAGCGCCGGAGUAGAAGACGGCGAAAUGUGAGGAUAGUUCCGUAUAUGCCUUCCCCAACGUGUACAUCAAGAAUAGUUAGAGAAUCUCCCAUUAGUAGUAGCAGGCACCGGUUGGUGCGCGCAAUAUAGCAAACCAAUCUCCGUUGUAUGGCCUUCAAGUUUGUCCACCUUCCUCCUUCA